CUCUGGGAUUUGCAGUCCAGAGUCACAACAGGAGGACUCUGUAGGGUUGCUUAUCACUUCCGCUUCCAGGUGCCUCUGGCAUUUGUUGUCCACAGCUGCAGCCAGCAGCUUCUAUGGAGAGAUUUGCCAGGGCAGAACUGACUUCUCAUAACAUAUAUCAGUGAGUCUGGAGCAGAGAGACAGGAGUGGCAUGUGUCUAUCUCACACCGUUUUAAAAGCACAUACUCCCUGCUUAUUGGAGGAUGCGCAGAGAGCAAUGUCAUUAGAACACGCCCAGAGACAGAGAAAAGCCGGGUGCUGGAGUCAGCAAAGGGCUGCCGGGAGCCAGAACAGGAUGGAAGCUCUGAAGCUCCAAUCCUAACCCAAGCCUGGAGAGCUGAGCCGGGGCAAGAGUGCUGAGAGCAAGAGGAACUCCAGUAAGCCAAGCAACCAAAGGUUCUGGAGUGUGACUUCAGGAGAACCUGUAUGGAGAAAACUCGGAAGAGUUUUCAAUCUUAAAGAAACAGGCACAGAGAGCGGGACACCAACUGAUGAUCAACAGGACCGCAGAUAGUCACUGAGUCGGUCAUGUGAGUCAGAUGGACAGCACCAAGCUGCAAGGUGACAAAUCUAUUUCAUGUCCCUUAUUUCCUAUGUUAUACAUUUUGCUCCAAAAUUAAGAGGUGUGCAAGCUAGCUGUGGCACAGCAUAAGUCAUUUAUUAUUUGGACAAUAUACUAAGUCGCAAGUGUGAUAAGCCUGUUAUGUUUUAUCUAUAAGUUAAUCAUUUGAAUUCAGCAGCUUUAAAGUAAUAGCAUCACAAAAUUACAUGCAUGACAAGAGACUGCCUAUUGUGAUCUCAUACCGGGAUGACACCACUAUUUCACCACCAUGGUUGGCAGGUGGAAGGGGUGUAGGGGAGGUGGAACCCCAAGAAACAUGCUACGAGGUAACUCUUACCUAAAGGGGGGGGGGGGUGCAAAACCAUAUAAGUCUGGGGCCUCCUUUCUUCUUUCCAAUACAUAAUUAAGUGAUCAAAUUGUGGCAGGCGAGUAAAGAGGGACUUCGUGCCCCCCACUUUUUCAGGCUAGAUGCCCAGAGGGUGACGAUAUAUUUUUGCUUUAUUACAGAAAAACAUUUUUGUCAUGAUUUGUGUUUGUAUAGUGUAUCUAGAGAUGAUUUCACAAUAACUCAAAAAUAGUUUUACUCUUGUAUAUUGU